CACUGACUUGAGGAUUUGGUAACCAUGAAGUUUAAUUCUAUCACUGAUCCCCAUGAGCCUCUGAGUCUCCUUCUGUUCAAUGGAACCAAAGAUACUUAUGAGUUUAAAGUAAUCCUCCAACUAGAUUGUAAUGGUCAGACUGAUAGCUGGUGAAGAAAAUGAGAACACGCUCUUCAAGCAUUACAGCCUGAAUCUCCUGUGUGAAGGA